UACGAAGGGGGCUAGCGUUGCUCGGAAUCACUGGGCGUAAAGGGCGCGUAGGCGGCCAUUCAAGUCGGGGGUGAAAGCCCAGGGCUCAACCCUGGAAUUGCCUUCGAUACUGUUUGGCUAGAGACCGGAAGAGGUAAGUGGAACUGCGAGUGUAGAGGUGAAAUUCGUAGAUAUUCGCAAGAACACCAGUGGCGAAGGCGGCUUACUGGUCCGGUUCUGACGCUGAGGCGCGAAAGCGUGGGGAGCAAACAGG
rnacentral:rRNA from 1 species